AAAAGUCGUAACAAGGUCUCCGUUGGUGAACCAGCGGAGGGAUCAUUACCGAGUUUACAACUCCCAAACCCCUGUGAACAUACCUAUCGUUGCUUCGGCGGAUCCGCCCCGGUGCCCUCGGGCCCGGACUCAGGCGCCCGCCGGGGGACCCAAACUCUUGUAUUUCUUUAGUAUCUUCUGAGUAAACAAGCAAAUAAAUUAAAACUUUCAACAACGGAUCUCUUGGUUCUG
rnacentral:misc_RNA from 1 species